ACUCCUACGGGAGGCAGCAGUGGGGAAUAUUGGACAAUGGGGGCAACCCUGAUCCAGCAAUGCCGCGUGAGUGAUGAAGGCCUUAGGGUUGUAAAGCUCUUUCGCCCGCGACGAUGAUGACGGUAGCGGGAGAAGAAGCCCCGGCUAACUUCGUGCCAGCAGCCGCGGUAAUACGAAGGGGGCGAGCGUUGUUCGGAAUUAUUGGGCGUAAAGGGCGCGUAGGCGGUGCGGUAAGUCUGCAGUGAAAUCUCUGGGCUCAACUCAGAGUCUGCUGUAGAAACUGCCGUGCUUGAGUGUGGGAGAGGUGAGUGGAAUUCCCAGUGUAGAGGUGAAAUUCGUAGAUAUUGGGAAGAACACCGGUGGCGAAGGCGGCCAUCUGGACCGGAACUGACGCUGAGGCGCGAAAGCGUGGGGAGCAAACAGGAUUAGAUACCCUGGUAGUCCACGCCGUAAACGAUGAGUGCUAGACGUUGGAGAGCUUGCUCUUCAGUGUCGUAGCUAACGCGAUAAGCAAUCCGCCUGGGGAGUACGGUCGCAAGGCUGAAACUUAAAGGAAUUGACG
rnacentral:rRNA from 1 species